GACGAACGCUGGCGGCGUGCUUAACACAUGCAAGUCGAACGGAAAGGCCCUGCUUUUGUGGGGUGCUCGAGUGGCGAACGGGUGAGUAACACGUGAGUAACCUGCCCUUGACUUUGGGAUAACUUCAGGAAACUGGGGCUAAUACCGGAUAGGAGCUCCUGCUGCAUGGUGGGGGUUGGAAAGUUUCGGCGGUUGGGGAUGGACUCGCGGCUUAUCAGCUUGUUGGUGGGGUAGUGGCUUACCAAGGCUUUGACGGGUAGCCGGCCUGAGAGGGUGACCGGCCACAUUGGGACUGAGAUACGGCCCAGACUCCUACGGGAGGCAGCAGGGGGGAAUAUUGCACAAUGGGCGGAAGCCUGAUGCAGCAACGCCGCGUGCGGGAUGGCGGCCUUCGGGUUGUAAACCGCUUUCGCCUGUGACGAAGCGUGAGUGACGGUAAUGGGUAAAGAAGCACCGGCUAACUACGUG
rnacentral:rRNA from 1 species